rnacentral:lncRNA from 1 species
UCAUCAGUGGGUGAGUGACAGUGUAAUGUGUUUUUUUUUUCUUUUUUUUUCCCAGGAGAGCCUGUUGAGUUAAAAAAAUCUCUUUUGACCCUUGCCAUCAACCCAAUAUUUGAUGCGUCAUGCUUUUUUUUACCUAGCUUUUUCAGCUGUUCAAAGAUUACUUGGGCAGCUGUGUGCCCUCUGGCAGCACACCCAGCAGUCCUUCCAAUGACCCCCCGAGAACAGAAGUGCCCAGUGAAAUGGGCCGAAGUGGUGUUCACCUUCUCCAGGGCCUCCAGGUGACAUGCCCAAAGACAACUGGAAUAAGGUGAGGAAAAACAACAUCAGACCACAACCUUGUUAUA